rnacentral:rRNA from 1 species
UGAGGAAGAUUCGGACUAAUGGGGCAAAGCCCUGAUCUAGCCAAUCCGCGUUGCAGGAAGAAGCAUCUAUGGUGUGUAAACUGCUUUUGUACAGGAAGUAACACUCCCUCGUGAGGGAGCUUGACGGUACUGUAAGAAUAAGGAUCGGCUAACUCCGU